CUGCGGAUGGGCCGGUGAGGAGUGUACCUGUCUGCCUUCGAGGCUCAGAGAUCUGGCUGAUGGCCUAAUGCUGGGAGGCAUGAGGAGGAAAUGGACAGCAGAGAAGGCGUUGGUGUUAUGAAGCAAGCGCACUCCCAUUGUCUCAUCCCAUAUAAGUUAGUAAGUCCCUUUCCAUCCUCUGAAAUAGCAGUGAAGCGCUGAAAGAAACAGCUCAAGUGGAACAGCAUGGAGCCGAGUAACAAGCCACUGUGCCUGCCACAAAAAUGCAACUUUGUGAAGUUUCAGAUGUUACGAGAACAGCUGGCAGUCUCAGUUAUUUGACUGCCAUAAUACAGUCUGAAGUCUUUAUUGGAUUACAUAACACUUCUGGCAACAUUUGGGAGCACAAAACGUGGAAUAAUAUUAUAAGCUCCCUGAUUGGUGAGUAGAUCUUAAUCCCCGCCCACAUUCCACAGUGACUGCUCGCUCUGAGAGCUUCAUGUUUUUCCUGGCUAAUUACACCACUAGCACAUUCCAAUAUCAA